CAAAGGCACAUUUAAAAAAUGUAAAUAUAGAAAUAGUUAAGAUAAGCAUUUUAAUCAUUUAAAACCUUAGUAAAUAGUCAUGGCUGAAGCCGCAGCAUGUUUAUUGCUGUACAAAUACAAGGCGGUAUGUACUAAGCAGACUGGUACAAUUUUUAGCACUCCAUGUGGCGUCUGUUGCAUCGUUUGGAUGAUCAGAUCAACACAGAUAUUCAUAGAUGGCGAGAUAAGGGACCAUGAUGUCCUAGACGAGGAUGAACAGUCACUCAUUGAUCACUCGCGACACGCAGAGAAAUCAGUUCGUACUGCUGCUAGCUUUGACUUCAUCUAGCAUCGGAAGCUGAACCGCCAUAUGAUCCUCUACUGCACUGUGCUUGCCUCGGCCAAGAAAGACAGUGAAAGCCAGCGGAAACGCAAAAGAUGAGGGAAUAAGGCACUCGCAAGUAUCCCGCAGUAGCGGGAAUGGGUAAGUCUAUUGCUAGCCAGCACGCGGGUUCAGCGAUUCGUUGCAAACAUUGAGAUGGGCCAUUCGCCUGGCAUGUGCCAGCUGCUCUUUUUUUACAUGGUCUUGUUUUGUGUGUUUUCAGAAAAUCAAAUCCGAUUUCGUUAUCAUGGAGCUGAAGGAUGAGGAUCUUGCAGCUCUCCAAACACACACAUUGGCCGAUGUGAUAGCGGUGUCGUACCCCAACAUUUAUCUCAACUUCUUGGUGGCCAACUGGAGUGUGAGCGCGACGUCAUUGCAACCAUCCUCCCGCAGAUUUGGUCGCAAGAUAUGCUAAGGAUACACAAUGUACACAAACAUGUCCUUUAUGUCCUUGCAUCCGGAAGGAUUGAAAUCCAUCAAGGACCUCAAGGACUGCAGGAUACGUCUGUUUUACCUGAAAUUAGGCCAUAAUUUUUAAAAUAAAAGGACCCCCUGAAAGAAAAUGCAUAAGUUCCAUCAGCAUUAUCCGAGCAUUGUGAAAGUAGCUACACUUUUUAUUGAUAUACAAAAUCUACAUAUUUUUUUAAUGUUGUGUAUGUUUUGUGUUAUAAUCUUAACCUGUGCUCUAAUCCGACUUGGCAUUAUUCUGAGUGGAAAUCGGUAACUUCGAUGUGGAACUAGUUAUCCAGAUCAAAGGUACACCCAAGUUUGCAUGAAUCAACGACCCAUCAACGUUUCUGCGGGAAGAGGGUUGUGGUGACGGGGCAUUCACGCUCCAACUGGAACACAUAGGUUUCCCAAUGUUGGGAUAUCGAUUGGCGAACCGGGCUCAUCAGCCAUCCGUGAAUCUUAGAGCUGCGAGAGACGCGUUCGUUUUCGAUUUUCU
rnacentral:lncRNA from 1 species